rnacentral:rRNA from 1 species
AUUGAACGCUGGCGGCAGGCUUAACACAUGCAAGUCGAGCGGAGCGAGGGUGCUUGCACCUUAGCUUAGCGGCGGACGGGUGAGUAAUGCUUAGGAAUCUGCCUAUUAGUGGGGGACAACAUUCCGAAAGGAAUGCUAAUACCGCAUACGCCCUACGGGGGAAAGCAGGGGAUCUUCGGACCUUGCGCUAAUAGAUGAGCCUAAGUCGGAUUAGCUAGUUGGUGGGGUAAAGGCCUACCAAGGCGACGAUCUGUAGCGGGUCUGAGAGGAUGAUCCGCCACACUGGGACUGAGACACGGCCCAGACUCCUACGGGAGGCAGCAGUGGGGAAUAUUGGACAAUGGGCGGAAGCCUGAUCCAGCCAUGCCGCGUGUGUGAAGAAGGCCUUUUGGUUGUAAAGCACUUUAAGCGAGGAGGAGGCUACUGGUACUAAUACUACUGGAUAGUGGACGUUACUCGCAGAAUAAGCACCGGCUAACUCUGUGCCAGCCGCCGCGGUAAAAC